UACGUAGGCACCAAGCGUUGUCCGGAUUUAUUGGGCGUAAAGAGCUCGUAGGCGGUUCGGUAAGUCGGGUGUGAAAACUCUGGGCUCAACCCAGAGAGGCCACCCGAUACUGCCGUGACUGGAGUGCGGUAGGGGAGUGGGGAAUUCCUGGUGUAGCGGUGAAAUGCGCAGAUAUCAGGAGGAACACCAGUGGCGAAGGCGCCACUCUGGGCCGUAACUGACGCUGAGGAGCGAAAGCCAGGGGAGCAAACGGG
rnacentral:rRNA from 1 species